GAUGAACGCUGGCGGCGUGCCUAAUACAUGCAAGUCGAGCGAACAGAUGAGGAGCUUGCUCCUCUGACGUUAGCGGCGGACGGGUGAGUAACACGUGGAUAACCUACCUAUAAGACUGGGAUAACUUCGGGAAACCGGAGCUAAUACCGGAUAAUAUAUUGAACCGCAUGGUUCAAUAGUGAAAGACGGUUUUGCUGUCACUUAUAGAUGGAUCCGCGCCGCAUUAGCUAGUUGGUAAGGUAACGGCUUACCAAGGCAACGAUGCGUAGCCGACCUGAGAGGGUGAUCGGCCACACUCGAACUGAGACACGGUCCAGACUCCUACGGGAGGCAGCAGUAGGGAAUCUUCCGCAAUGGGCGAAAGCCUGACGGAGCAACGCCGCGUGAGUGAUGAAGGUCUUCGGAUCGUAAAACUCUGUUAUUAGGGAAGAACAAAUGUGUAAGUAACUAUGCACGUCUUGACGGUACCUAAUCAGAAAGCCACGGCUAACUACGUG
rnacentral:rRNA from 1 species